AAUAAGUGUAGUUUUACAUUAUUCACGUUCAACGUUUGACCGUUCGUCUUAUUUGAAUUUUUUUAGAUUAAUAUUUUUAUUGCUAUUAGAUGAUAAAAUAUGAAUAAUACUUUAUGUGUGACUAAAUAUUUUUAAAUUUUUUAAAUAAGACAGACGGUCAAACGUUUGGUACGAAUAUCCACGGCUGUACUUAUU
rfam:Oryza barthii chromosome 1, whole genome shotgun sequence.